rnacentral:snRNA from 1 species
ACUUCAAUAAGCACUACAGUCUAAAAUUAAAAUUAUACAUAGUAGAUGAGCGUGGCCCCCACGCAAGGAUAAAACUCAUGUGUGAAGUCGUCCAUAUUUAA